GGCUAAUACCGCAUACAACCUGAGGGUAAAAGUGGGGGACCGCAAGGCCUCACGCUAUAGGAGCGGCCGAUGGAAGAUUAGGUAGUUGGUAGGGUAAAGGCCUACCAAGCCGACGAUCUUUAGCGGGUCUGAGAGGACGAUCCGCCACACUGGGACUGAGACACGGCCCAGACUCCUACGGGAGGCAGCAGUGGGGAAUUUUGGACAAUGGGGGCAACCCUGAUCCAGCAAUGCCGCGUGAGUGAAGAAGGCCUUCGGGUUGUAAAGCUCUUUUGUUUGGGAAGAAAUCCCUAAGGAUAAUACCCUUGGGGGAUGACGGUACCAAAAGAAUAAGCACCGGCUAACUACGUGCCAGCAGCCGCGGUAAUACGUAGGGUGCAAGCGUUAAUCGGAAUUACUGGGCGUAAAGCGUGCGCAGGCGGUUUUGUAAGACAGGUGUGAAAUCCCCGAGCUCAACUUGGGAACUGCACUUGUGACUGCAAGACUAGAGUGUGUCAGAGGGAGGUAGAAAUUCCACGUGUAGCAGUGAAAUGCGUAGAUACCGUGGAAGGAAUACCAGUGGCGAAGGCGGCCUCCCUGGGAAUAACACUGACGCUCAUGUACGAAAGCGUGGGGAGCCAACAGGAAUUAGAUACCCUGGUAGUCCACGCCCUAAACGAUGUCAACUGGUUGUUGGGGAUUCAUUUCCUUAGUAACGAAGCUAACGCGUGAAGUUGACCGCCUGGGGAGUACGGUCGCAAGAUUAAAACUCAAAUGAAUUGACGGGGACCCGCACAAGCGGUGGAUGAUGUGGAUUAAUUCGAUGCAACGCGAAAAACCUUACCUACCCUUGACAUGCCACUAACGAAGUAGAGAUACGUUAGGUGCUCGUAAGAGAAAGUGGACACAGGUGCUGCAUGGCUGUCGUCAGCUCGUGUCGUGAGAUGUUGGGUUAAGUCCCGCAACGAGCGCAACCCUUGUCGUUAAUUGCCAUCAUUUAGUUGGGCACUUUAGCGAGACUGCCGGUGACAAACCGGAGGAAGGUGGGGAUGACGUCAAGUCCUCAUGGCCCUUAUGGGUAGGGCUUCACACGUCAUACAAUGGUCGGUACAGAGGGUUGCCAAGCCGCGAGGUGGAGCCAAUCCCAGAAAACCGAUCGUAGUCCGGAUUGGAGUCUGCAACUCGACUCCAUGAAGUCGGAAUCGCUAGUAAUCGCGGAUCAGAAUGUCGCGGUGAAUACGUUC
rnacentral:rRNA from 1 species